AACGAACGCUGGCGGCAUGCCUAACACAUGCAAGUCGAACGAGACCUCCGGGUCUAGUGGCGCACGGGUGCGUAAGGCGGGGGAACCUGCCCUUAGGUUCGGAAUACCUCCCCGAAAGGGGUGCUAAUACCGGAUAAUGUCUUCGGACCAAAGAUUUUUCGCCAUUGGGUGGGCCCGCGUUGGAUUAGCCGGUUGGUAGGGUAAAAGCCUACCAAGGAGACGAUCCAGAGCUGGUAUGAGAGGAUGAUCCGCCACGCUUGGGCUGAGACACGGCCCAGACUCCUACGGGAGGCAGCAGUGUGGUAUAUUGUACGAUGGGCGAAAGCCUGAUACAGCAACGCCGCGUGAGUGAUGAAGCGCUUAGUGUUGUAAAGCUCUUUUUCCCGAGAUGAUAAUGACAGUACCGGGAGAAUAAGCUCCGGCUAACUACGUG
rnacentral:rRNA from 1 species